rnacentral:rRNA from 1 species
AGAGUUUGAUCAUGGCUCAGAUUGAACGCUGGCGGCAGGCCUAACACAUGCAAGUCGAGCGGAUGAGAAGAGCUUGCUCUUCGAUUCAGCGGCGGACGGGUGAGUAAUGCCUAGGAAUCUGCCUGGUAGUGGGGGACAACGUUUCGAAAGGAACGCUAAUACCGCAUACGUCCUACGGGAGAAAGCAGGGGACCUUCGGGCCUUGCGCUAUCAGAUGAGCCUAGGUCGGAUUAGCUAGUUGGUGAGGUAAUGGCUCACCAAGGCGACGAUCCGUAACUGGUCUGAGAGGAUGAUCAGUCACACUGGAACUGAGACACGGUCCAGACUCCUACGGGAGGCAGCAGUGGGGAAUAUUGGACAAUGGGCGAAAGCCUGAUCCAGCCAUGCCGCGUGUGUGAAGAAGGUCUUCGGAUUGUAAAGCACUUUAAGUUGGGAGGAAGGGCAGUUUCCUAAUACGAAAUUGUUUUGACGUUACCGACAGAAUAAGCACCGGCUAACUCUGUGCCAGCAGCCGCGGUAAUACAGAGGGUGCAAGCGUUAAUCGGAAUUACUGGGCGUAAAGCGCGCGUAGGUGGUUUGUUAAGUUGAAUGUGAAAUCCCCGGGCUCAACCUGGGAACUGCAUCCAAAACUGGCAAGCUAGAGUAGGGCAGAGGGUGGUGGAAUUUCCUGUAGCGGUGAAAUGCGUAGAUAUAGGAAGGAACACCAGUGGCGAAGGCGACCACCUGGGCUCAUACUGACACUGAGGUGCGAAAGCGUGGGGAGCAAACAGGAUUAGAUACCCUAGUAGUCC